UGCGCAGGCGGAACUUUAUGUCAGUGGUGAAAUCUUGCCGCUUAACGGUAAAAUUGCCAUUGAUACUGAAGUUCUUGAAUAUGGUUGAGGUAGGCGGAAUGUGUUGUGUAGCGGUGAAAUGCAUAGAUAUGACACAGAACGCCGAUUGCGAAGGCAGCUUACUAAGCCAUUAUUGACGCUGAGGCACGAAAGCGUGGGGAGCGAACAGGAUUAGAUACCCUGGUAGUCC
rnacentral:rRNA from 1 species